UACGGGGGGGGCAAGCGUUGUUCGGAAUUACUGGGCGUAAAGGGCUCGUAGGCGGCCAACUAAGUCAGACGUGAAAUCCCUCGGCUUAACCGGGGAACUGCAUCUGAUACUGGAUGGCUUGAGUUCGGGAGAGGGAUGCGGAAUUCCAGGUGUAGCGGUGAAAUGCGUAGAUAUCUGGAGGAACACCGGUGGCGAAGGCGGCAUCCUGGACCGACACUGACGCUGAGAUGCGAAAGCGUGGGGAGCAAACAGG
rnacentral:rRNA from 1 species